UUGAGGUAGAUCAGUUAACAACAGAAACUGGU
rnacentral:piRNA from 2 species